GUGACCGGUUUCAAUCUCCUCCCCCUCCACACCUCGUACCCGUUCCCAAGGAGCAAAAUCCCCCUUUGACGGUCCGCCAGAAGUACUAACGAGCUGCGAAAUGGCCAGAAGGCAGAGGGAGGGGCGGAUGAGGGCUGGAUAACGAGCAGUCGGCUAGAAUGUGUAUUGUGACCGCGGACCGCUAUUUUUUUCCUGGAGCCCUGUUUGCCAUUUGAUGGGUUUGUGUCGAAUUCCCAACCAGCAGAGGUCACCGCAGAUGCUCCCGAACCUACUUUCAGACGCACCUUCGCAGCACACAUACCUCACCAUCGUACGGUGGUCGAGCUACAGAUCUCAGGAAUCCGAGCCAUUGUUCAGAACACACCGAACCACAUGAGAGAGGAAAAUCCCCCCCCAAAAGUAAAUAGCAUCAUCCAUUUUAAUACGAAUCGUUCCGAUAGCCAUCUAAUUGAUUUCGGUUUGAUUCCGGUGAAGG
rnacentral:lncRNA from 1 species